AUGGUGAUAGGCUCCGACUUCGUGGUGGACACCGGCGCGGCGCUCCUCGCCUUCCCUGCCAACAGCGAGGAGUGGCACGACUGCGUCCCCGACCUCGACGACGACUUCUCCGACCUCGAGGAGCUCCAAGUGGUCCACGUGCAGGGCGCAGACAGAUCCGGCCAGCCCGUCGUCCGGGUCGUCGACAAGUUCUUCCCCGGUGCGCCAAACCCGCUCCCGUUGCUUUCCGUCCUCUCCUCAUCCUGGGAUUUAUCGGGUGGUGUUUGGGGAUUGCUGGUGCGCGUCUAG
rnacentral:rRNA from 1 species